UUUAAUUAUUAUACAUAGCUUAUCAUAGACGAUCAUAAGAUAUUUCUAUGGGUUGGGAGUAGAUGGAUUGGAUGGGUAGCUGUUGGUCAAAAAGAAGGAAUAAGUUCAAGAAAUCUGUUGUAUGACAUGGCAACUCCAGAAAAGUGCUAAGAGAGUGUAUGUAAAGUGUUCUCACCACAAAAAAUAACUAUGUGAGGUAAUGAAUAUGUUAAUUAACUAGAUUUAGUCAUCUCACAAAUAUGUAUACUUCAAAACAUGUUAUACACAAUAAAUGCAUACAAUUUUAUGUCAAUUUAAAAAUAAUAAAAAACAAAAAUAAAAAUAUAUCUAAUGCUUUUUAAUAAUAUGCCUUAUAAAAAUAACACGAGGGAAAUUUAAGUAAUUGAAUGUGCUAUAAAUUUAUUUACCUGAUUACUAAAUAAUACAUCAUUCUGGAUAGUAACCCUUUUCAUGUGGAGCUUUGCCUAUUAGUAUUUUUGGCAAUAGAAAGAGAGUAAACAGACUGCUUUGUCCAGUUUUCUCUACACUAUUUUAAAGUGUUAAUAAUCUCAUUUGUAUAUCAAACUAAAAUCCUUACUGAUGGCAAAAUUGAUAACCUUUCUGUGCUCUGAGGCAAUUCCUCCCUUGUCUUUUUACCUAUUUCUAUCUCUCUUUUUAUAGAGUGAUCUGUAUUAAUGAUUUCAAUUUCAGGAGGGAUUGAAGGUAGAAUUAUUGAAUGACUAUUUAAAGGUUUCACUUAGCAUCUUGUGAAUUAGACACAAAGAAAAUAACUGAAUUUUUAUGAAGGCAUAGAGAUAAUAUAGAAAGUAGUUUCAGAAAAGUCGAAAAUACCGCCACCAUUCCUGAGUUAUAAUGUUGUUUUUGAACAAAUGAUAAAUGUAGUUUGUCUUUUAUAAAAACAUGAUUAUGUGGAAUAUCAGAAAAAUGUUAACACAUUUACUCUAGU
rnacentral:lncRNA from 1 species